CAAGUCGGGCGAGAACCCGCAAGGGGGACAGCGGCAAACGGGGUAGUAACGGGUAGGCAACGUACCCUUCGGAUGGGGAUAGCCACGGGAAACUGUGGGUAAUACCCAAUAAUCUCUCUGAUAAUCAUCGUUAGAGAGCAAAGGUGUGAUUCCACCGGAGGAGCGGCCUGCUUCGUAUUAGCUAGUUGGUGAGGUAAUGGCUCACCAAGGCGACGAUGCGUAGGGGGUGUGAGAGCAUGACCCCCACCACUGGGACUGAGAUACUGCCCAGACACCUACGGGUGGCUGCAGUCGAGAAUCUUCGGCAAUGGGGGAAACCCUGACCGAGCGACGCCGCGUGUGGGAUGAAGGCCCUUGGGUUGUAAACCACUGUCAGAGGGGAUGAAGUGCGGGAGAGCAAUCUCUUCCGUUUGACAUAGCCUCAGAGGAAGCACGGGCUAAGUUCGUGCCAGCAGCCGCGGUAAUACGAACUGUGCAAACGUUAUUCGGAAUCACUGGGCUUACAGGGUGCGUAGGCGGCUUGUUAAGCAGGGUGUGAAAUCCCUCGGCUCAACCGAGGAAUUGCGCCCUGAACUGGCGAGCUUGAGUGGGAUAGAGGUGCGUGGAACUUCCAGUGGAGCGGUGAAAUGUGUUGAUAUUGGAAGGAACACCAGAGGCGAAAGCGGCGCACUGGAUCUCAACUGACGCUGAGGCACGAAAGCCAGGGGAGCAAACGGGAUUAGAUACCCCGGUAGUCCUGGCUGUAAACGAUGAGCACUAGCUGGCAGCGGCGGAUGCCGUUGCCACGUAACGAAAAGUGUUAAGUGCUCCACCUGGGGAGUAUGGUCGCAGGCUGAAACUCAAGGAUUGACGG
rnacentral:rRNA from 1 species